UCCAGACUCCUACGGGAGGCAGCAGUGGGGAAUAUUGCACAAUGGGGGAAACCCUGAUGCAGCGACGCCGCGUGAGCGAAGAAGUAUUUCGGUAUGUAAAGCUCUAUCAGCAGGGAAGAAAAAAAUGACGGUACCUGAGUAAGAAGCACCGGCUAAAUACGUGCCAGCAGCCGCGGUAAUACGUAUGGUGCAAGCGUUAUCCGGAUUUACUGGGUGUAAAGGGAGCGUAGGCGGCGCGUUAAGUCUGAUGUGAAAACCCGAGGCUCAACCACGGGAGUGCAUUGGAAACUGGCGGGCUGGAGUGCCGGAGAGGUAAGCGGAAUUCCUAGUGUAGCGGUGAAAUGCGUAGAUAUUAGGAGGAACACCAGUGGCGAAGGCGGCUUACUGGACGGCAACUGACGCUGAGGCUCGAAAGCGUGGGGAGCAAACAGGAUUAGAUACCCCAGUAC
rnacentral:rRNA from 1 species